rnacentral:rRNA from 1 species
ACUUUGGACAAUGGGGGAAACCCUGAUCCAGCCAUCCCGCGUGUAUGAUGAAGGCCUUCGGGUUGUAACGUACUCUUGGCAGAGAAGAAAAGGCAUCUCAUAAUACGAGAUACUGCUGACGGUAUCUGCAUAAAAAGCAACGGCUAACUACGUGCCAGCAGCCGCGGUAAUACGUAGGGUGCAAGCGCUAAUCAGAAUUACGGGGCGUAAAGCGCGCGUAGGUGGUUCAGUAAGAUGGGUGUGAAAUCCCCGGGCUUAACCUGGGAACUGCUUUCAUAACUGCCGAGCUAGAGUAUGUCAGAGGGGGGUAGAAUUCCACGUGUAGCAGUGAAAUGCGUAGAUAUGUGGAGGAAUACCGAUGGCGUAGGCAGCCCCCUGGGAUAAUACUGACGCUCAGACACGAAAGCGUGGGGAGCAAACAG